GACCGUGUGGCCUAAUGGAUAAGGCGUCGGACUUCUACAAAGCAGUUGACAUCCGAAAAUUGCGGGUUCGAAUCCUGCCUCGGUUA
rnacentral:tRNA from 1 species